rnacentral:rRNA from 1 species
AUUGAACGCUGGCGGCAUGCCUUACACAUGCAAGUCGAACGGCAGCACGGGUGCUUGCACCUGGUGGCGAGUGGCGAACGGGUGAGUAAUACAUCGGAACGUACCUUAUCGUGGGGGAUAACGCAGCGAAAGCUGUGCUAAUACCGCAUACGCCCUGAGGGGGAAAGCGGGGGAUCGAAAGACCUCGCGCGAUUAGAGCGGCCGAUGCCUGAUUAGCUUGUUGGUGGGGUAAAAGCCCACCAAGGCGACGAUCAGUAGCUGGUCUGAGAGGACGAUCAGCCACACUGGGACUGAGACACGGCCCAGACUCCUACGGGAGGCAGCAGUGGGGAAUUUUGGACAAUGGGGGCAACCCUGAUCCAGCAAUGCCGCGUGAGUGAAGAAGGCCUUCGGGUUGUAAAGCUCUUUUGUCAGGGAAGAAACGCUCUGGGCUAAUACCUCGGGGUAAUGACGGUACCUGAAGAAUAAGCACCGGCUAACUACGUGCCAGCAGCCGCAGUAA